rnacentral:lncRNA from 1 species
GAGAGAGAGGAAGGGUGAGAAUUUCUCGCACACUCUCUCCUAGAGCUUGGCAGUGCUUGUCUGUCCGUGGAUGUCAGAGCUCUAGGUCUUCCACCUUUGUACUCUAGGACUCAUACCAGCAGUUCCUAGGCUCUCCAGCCUUCAGCCUUGGACUGAGAAUGUUACCACCAGCUUCCCUGAUUCCCAGGCCUUCGGACUUGGUCUGAACCACACUACCGGCUUUCUUGGUUCUUCAGCUUCCAGAUGGCCUAUUGUGGGAUUUCUCAGCCUCUGUAAUUGUAAAAGAAACUACAGGGAUUUAAGUGGAGAGACAAUAAAAGAAGAGGAGAAAUAUUCACAGAUAAAGAGGAGGAAA